GCGCUCGUAGCUCAAUCGGAUAGAGCAUCAGCUUGCGGAGCUGGAGGUUGAGAGUUCGAGUCUCUCCGAGCGCGCCA
rnacentral:tRNA from 1 species